GCCGGGUGUGGUGGCGAGUGCCUGUAGUCCCAGCUACUCAGGAGGCUGAGGCAGGAGAAUCACUUGAACCCAGGAGGCGGAGGUUGCAGUGAGCCAAGAUUGCACCACUGCACUCCAGCCUGGGUGACAGAGUGAGACUCUGUCUCAA
ensembl:misc_RNA Metazoa_SRP Metazoan signal recognition particle RNA